rnacentral:rRNA from 1 species
CAAUAGCGUAUAUUAAAGUUGUUGCAGUUAAAAAGCUCGUAGUUGGAUUUCUGGUAGGAGUGACCGUGCCAGACUUGAUUGUCUGUGUAUUGUGUUGUCUCCAGCCAUCCUUGUGGAGAACUUUUCUUGCAUUAAUUUGUAGGGAUUGGGACCCGCAUCGUUUACUGUGAAAAAAUUAGAGUGUUUAAAGCAGGCAAUCGCUUGAAUACAUUAGCAUGGAAUAAUAAGAUAGGACUUUGGUACUAUUUUGUUGGUUUGCAUACCAAAUUAAUGAUCAACAGGAACAGUUUGAGGAUAUUCGUAUGAACAUGUCAGAGGUGAAAUUCUUGGAUUUUGAUCAGACGAACUACUGCGAAAGCAUUUAUCGAGGAUGUUUUCAUUAA